GUGAAGAUCAGGAAUCUGCAACGUUUGGGUAUUUUUACCAACUAUCUUUACUGCAAUAUACAUAGUUAAAAAACAUAUUAAAAAAAUAAUAAUCUUUCCUUGAAAUCUACAGGAACUGCUGUUUCACCCUAGGUCUCUGUGUAGAGAGUAGGGAGCUGUUUCACCCUAGGUCUCUGUGUAGGGAGUAGGGAGCUGUUUCACCCUAGGUCUCUGUGUAGGGAGCUGUUUCACCCUAGGUCUCUGUGUAGGGAGUAGGGAGCUGUUUCACCCUAGGUCUCUGUGUAGGGAGUAGGGAGCCGUUUCACCCUAGGUCUCUGUGUAGAGAGUAGGGUGCCGUUUCACCCUAGGUCUCUGUGUAGGGAGUAGGGUGCCGUUUCACCCUAGGUCUCUGUGUAGAGAGUAGGGUGCCGUUUCACCCUAGGUCUCUGUGUAGGGAGUAGGGUGCCGUUUCACCCUAGGUCUCUGUGUAGAGAGCUGUUUCACCCUAGGUCUCUGAGUAGGGAGUAGGGAGCUGUUUCACCCUAGGUCUCUGUGUAGGGAGUAGGGAGCUGUUUCACCCUAGGUCUCUGUGUAGGGAGUAGGGUGCCGUUUCACCCUAGAUCUCUGUGUAGAGAGCCGUUUCACCCUAGGUCUCUGUGUAGGGAGUAGGGUGCCGUUUCACCCUAGGUCUCUGUGUAGAGAGCCGUUUCACCCUAGGUCUCUGUGUAGGGAGUAGGGUGCCGUUUCACCCUAGGUCUCUGUGUAGAGAGCUGUUUCACCCUAGGUCUCUGUGUAGGGAGUAGGGUGCCGUUUCACCCUAGGUCUCUGUGUAGGGAGUAGGGUGCUGUUUCACCCUAGGUCUCUGUGUAGGGAGUAGGGUGCUGUUUCACCCUAGGUCUCUGUGUAGAGAGUAGGGUGCCGUUUCACCCUAGGUCUCGGUGUAGGGAGUAGGGAGCUGUUUCACCCUAGGUCUCUGUGUAGGGAGCUGUUUCACCCUAGGUCUCUGUGUAGGGAAUAGUGAGCUGUUUCACCCUAGGUCUCUGUGUAGGAAUAGUGAGCUGUUUCACCCUAGGUCUCUGUGUAGGGAGUAGGGAGCUGUUUCACCCUAGGUCUCUGUGUAGGGACUAGGGAGCUGUUUCACCCUAGGUCUCUGUGUAGAGAGUAGGGUGCCGUUUCACCCUAGGUCUCUGUGUAGAGAGUAGGGAGCUGUUUCACCCUAGGUCUCUGUGUAGAGAGUAGGGAGCUGUUUCACCCUAGGUCUCUGUGUAGGGAGUAGGGAGCUGUUUCACCCUAGGUCUCUGUGUAGAGAGUAGGGAGCUGUUUCACCCUAGGUCUCUGUUGAGGAAAACGUCAUUUGAAUCAUCAGUACGGUAAGGGGAUCUUGUUAUAGUGAAACAGACGGAAACGGCCUGGACAAAAAUAAAGAAAACAAACAAAAUAACAUUUGCAAAAAGAUGCAAAUUAAGUUUUUUGAAAUAAAUGAUAGUCUGGCUAAGCCAAACAUUCUAUGUCAUAAUGUGGCACAAUUAUUUCCUCUUUUUCAUGAAUUCUAAAACUUUGUAUGUUUUAUUGUCAACAGCAAUGAGUAUUACUGUAAUUAUUAUUAUUAUGAUUAUUGUCAUGGCUAUUACUAAUAUUAGUGGCAGGCCACUGGGUAACAUUGUAUGUUGAUAUCCAAAUGAAAUCUGUGCAAGAUAAUGAUGAAAUGUUUAUGAGUUUUAAAAACAAAUAAAAAGAUAAGACUA